rnacentral:rRNA from 1 species
UACAGAGGUCCCGAGCGUUGUUCGGAUUCACUGGGCGUAAAGGGUGCGUAGGUGGCUUGGUAAGUUUGAUGUGAAAGCUCAGGGCUUAACCCUGAAAUGGCAUUGAAUACUACUGAGCUGGAGGUUUGGAGGGGGGACUGGAAUUCUUGGUGUAGCAGUGAAAUGCGUAGAUAUCGAGAGGAACACCAGUGGCGAAGGCGAGUCUCUGGACAUUUCCUGACGCUGAGGCACGAAAGCCAGGGGAGCAAACGGG